GGCAAAUCAGAACAAAAUGACAACCCCUCCUCACCCCAGGCCAUUGCGAUCCAGAAGCAAAGAAUGGCAGGUAGGUUAACAGCAGUAAGUUUGGUUAAGGUUUAUUAUGUGAAGUUUUAUCAUUGCUCUGCUGCUGAAUGGGUCGCAUUGGAGGCUGACACCUGGCUGCAGGUAAAACAGGUUACACUGGAGGCUGUCUCCUCUUGCUUAGAAGUAGAGGUCAUCUGUUCCUGCAGAGAAGUCACAUGGCACCCACACACCCCAACUCCUAAUGGUUCUCUCCCUUUGGGUGUGACCCCCUGGCCAGAGAACAACAAUGCCCCAGUGCGUGGGGAAGGGUGAGCCUGGUCUCUUUUCUUAACCCUUAACGUGUAGACAUGUUUACACCCAACACUCUCGUAUCUGAGGAGGAAAUUACUCCAAUACUUAAUUAAACUACUAAGUUAACAAUUUCAAAGAUUUUACUUAGUGCAAAAAAGAAAGAAGAACUUCAUUAGCCAGAUUCAACUGUUAUUUAGCAAAAUUUAAUACACAGUGAAAGCAAGCUAAAUCUAGCCUCAAUGAAGUGACCUAUUCUGUUUAUUAAUAGCACUGUCUUACUUUAAAACUGCGAGUAACAAAAGCAAGCUGAACUAAUUUUGUGUUGAUACACUUUAUUAUCACUAGUAUUGUGUGUUGAGAUCACAGCGAUGGCUAUGACAAAUGAGGUGAUGAAAUGUCAUCCCAUUCCACACCGAGUCUACAACUAAGGAUCCAAGCAUAAGAAACACUUGGAAAAUUCUGGGUUCUCCAAAGUGGACGGGGGCAUGGUUUAGUGUGCCAGACGUCAGAAGCCUACCUGUGGGCUGCUCCAAAUGUGGUCCUGGUAUGGAGGUCCAGCGUGUGGACCUUUUAUCAUUGCACUGCUGCUGAGUGAGUCGCAUUGGAGGCUGACACCUGGCUGCAGGUAAAACAGGUUACACUGGAGGCUGUCUCCUCUUGCUUAGAAGUAGAGGUCAUCUGUUCCUGCAGAGAAGUCACAUGGCACCCACACACCCCAACUCCUAAUGGUUCUCUCCCUGUGGGUGUGACCCUCUGGCCAGAGAAGGUCCACACCCUGUGGGGUCACUGAGAAGGCAGAACCUGGGGCCCCACUCAGACCCUGGCACCGGAACCGAAUGUCAGUAGUCUGGUGAUUCGUGCAUACAUUAACCUUUGAGAGCUUUGCUUUCGAUGGAACUUGAUAAAUAUUCCUUGAAGAUGCUGAAUUUACCACUCUUUGUCUUUUUUAUGUAAUGAGGAGCCAACUGCUAUCAAAAGAGGCUUGUUAUCCUCAACAAUGCUGAACAAUUACUACAUGUUUUUGAACCAGCUUGGGAUCAACCACAUCACGUUCAGAGACAAGCCUCCCAAAUGCUGCGUGAUGGGGAAGCUGACCGCCCUUUGCAACCAUUCUUGACUGAGAGCCAUGGGUGGGGCUCGCCGUGGGUGCUGUGAGAGCCGCACCCUGGGCGGAGGUUUCCAGGGCUUCAGCUGCAAAGUGCUAGGAAGACUCAAAGGGUAGGGCCUGAAAGCCCCUCUGAGAGGCAGCAACACAAACCCAGGGGAGGGCUCUGUGCGGACUUAUAUACUCGUGCCUCUGCUUAAUUCAUCUAGAACCCCUAUGGCUGUUUACAUAACAACUAUAACACUUCAUGCGGCUUAUAUGUAUGUGGAGGUAACACAUAGGCCACUAGGAAGGGGGACAGUGGUAGAUGGACCUUUUUUAGGUGCAAAGUUCUUGGCUUUAUGUGAAGUGAAGCAGUGUUAACUAAAUAGGCUGGGGCAAGCUAAGGAUGUACAUUGCCAUCACUAAAGCAACCACUGAAACAAAAGUGCAAAAGAAGAUAUAGAUUAUGAUGGGGUGGUACAAAAGUGUUGGAAAUAAACGGUGGUGAUGGUUGCACAACAUUGUGAAUGCAUGCAGUGCUACUGAAUUAUACAGUUUAUCCACGGUUUUCACCAUUUGGGAAGUUUUAUGUCAUAUAUGUUUUGACAUGAUAAAAGAAAAAUUACAAAACAUAGCUUAAAAAGCCGAUAAAUAGAAAGCCAAUAGGUAAAUAAAAAUGGGAUUGUAAAAAAAUCAGUCAACUCAAAAGAAGGCAAAAAAGGAAGAAAACAGCAACAACAACAAUGAAACUGAGGGACAAACAGAAAGCAAAUCUCCGAAUGGAAGACCCUGAGCCAUAAGGAAGAUCACAUUAUAUGCACUGGAUUCCACUUUCCAAAGAGAAGGCAGAGAUACUCAGAGUGGAUAAAAAUGCAAGACGCAGUGCUACGCAGAGAAGCUGAAAGAAAAGAUGGAAAAGGCAAACCACGCAAACAGCAGUGGGAAGAAGGCUGGAGGGGCUUUGUGAAUAUCAGAUAAGAUCCCUGAAGACGGAGCGUUACCAGAGACAAUGAGGGAUGUUCAUAAUCAUGAAACGGUGUGUUUACCAGGAAGACAUAACAGACAUAACAACCAACAAUGUAUAUAAGCCCAGUAACAGAGUUUCAGAAUCAUGAAGCAAGCCUCAACAGCGAUGAGGGAGAAGCAGGCAGACCCUGGGCCAACUUCCUCGGAGGGCUGCCGGGUGCACAGGGCUGGGGUGUUAGUACAGGGGUCCUAGUCGACACCCAGCUAUGCACGCUCUGCAGAACUGUCUACAAACCAAGAGAAAACCCCUUUUCCCCUGCUGUGAUCAGAAAUCCUGACUUUAAUUCCAGUUGCAGUGUGUGUGGCAGAAUGUGGCCCGUGAGUCAGAGGUUCUGAGUUCCGGUUGUGACUUGGCCACUCAAUUCGUGACCUGGAAUAAGUCAUACACUUCGUUGAACUACAGUUUCCUUAAAAGUCAGUAGACAGUUUAAAAAGUCAUCAGAUAAUGUUUAGGACCAUUUCCACCUCCAGGAAUUGGAUACUCAUUCUGGGCUUUGGAUAUUUUAACCAUUUUUACAAAAAGGUAUGAGGUAUACAGUUUUAUUGCAUAAAGUCUUUGAAGAAUUAUCUAAGUAAAACCAUUUCCCUUGAAAGCAUAUUGAGGAAAUUUGAAUAAGGCUGGAAAUAUUUUCAUAAUCUUGUGCUUGCGUAGGAAACACACUAAGUCCUUUUGUGCGGAACUUAACAUCUGUGGCAGCUAGAUUCCCUCACUAGCUUACCCGCUCCCCACCCUCUUCGUGGAAUUGUUGUAACCAUAGAAAGUAAAUCCAGGUACAAAGCACUGGCUCCGCCUUCAAGCACCUUUGGGAAGUGGUUUCAUCUCCAGUGCCUCAGUGCUCCCGUGAUUGAGUAAAGGGAGAAAGGAGUCAUCCCCAGCUCACAGAACAGUCCUGCGGCCCGGGGAGGCAGUGCCUGCAGACAGCCUGGAGACCCCGGAACCUGCUCGGCCCUCCCCUCCUGCUAGCUUUCUGCAGUUCCCCAUCCCCCAUUCUGCCUUCUCUCAAGUGAUACCAGCUGAACCAGAAGCCAAUGGCAGCUUGAAACAGCAGCUUGCUCCUGUAUCUGAGGAUUCUGUGGUCCCGAAUCAGCACGUGUCACAGGUAGAGCCGAGCUAGGAAAGAGCUGCUCUGGUCAGAGGGGCGGGGUGACCAGAACGUGCACCAUCCAGGCCUCCUCCAAGAUACUCCAAGGACCUCAGCCCACUCCCUCGCGGCAGGGAGCAACCCCCUCCUCUGUUGUUGACCAGAUGUUUGGAGGAGACCGAGAGUGUGCUGUCGGCACGCAUCGUCCGUGAAGCAAUGGGGCAGAGUUCAUCCCUUACUUCAACCUAUGCAUCGCUGUUUUGUGCAUCGUCAUAAAAACAACACAUUCCAAAUGCACUGUCAUGGGCUUGGAAGGAAAAUAAUAAAGAAAACAAACCCCAAAUGAAAUUGCACAAUGUCUAGAGUGUCUUCAGUGCGUUUUCUUCUGCCUUAAAAAACCAACCAAACAAAAGCGACCUACUUGAGACCAUACAAUGAGGCAGACACUGGAUGUUUAGCUCCCAGCCCCUGACCCCCCUGCCGGCCUGGCAAGGUGAAUCUUGGGGAUAUACAGACCUCCCAGCUGCCCUGGUUGCUGGGUGCAGGUGCAGGACCCAGACUCAGCCAACAGCACACACAGCCAGCUCUAAAGUGGAAGCUGGUGGCACAAGGCAAAAGGCCAGCAUCCUUGGCUUCGGAGGUGGCUUCAUCCCCUCUUCAGGAGCAGUGGGUCAGUGGCACUGGGCCCGUGUCCAGUCCUGACCUGUGCUGGCCCUGGAGCUGCAGUAUUGCUGCCCCCCAGGCCCCUGGCUGGGCUCCUGGUCCUGCUGCUGCUCGGCCUCUCCCUC
rnacentral:lncRNA from 10 species